CCAUCUUGAGUGGAGAGGCACAAAGGGAGGCGCACACUGACUGCUUGAGGACCUCACACGAGACGCUUCGCGAAUUACCUUCCCUACUACGGCGAAGGCCUACCUCAUGAAUAUUAAACAAAUACUGGGCGGGUCUCCCAGUUGACGCAGACGUUAAGUGGGCGCUUAGGUUGGGUCAUGAAUAUUAAUUAACACAUCCAAAGCACAGACAGCCUGACUAAAUUAAUAUUUAUGAACAACGCCUUUACCGUAGUGCGAGCUAUGUGUACGAGUUAUCGCCAUAGACAGUAAAAUAAAAACAAAGACAACUUUACAAAAAAGAAAAAAAAAAGAAAAGAAAAGAGCGGGAAAUUUCACCGAAUCAUUCCUCAGAAAUCAUAAGUCUUAUUUUGUUUGUUUAAAAUGCUAUGCAGAAUACAUUAAAUCGUAAAAUACUUGAUGCACUGCUGUAUGAAUUAUGAUCAGGCACUUGAAAAGGCAGCACUAUCCGCGUUGGCUUGAAUGAUGUCAUUUUCAGACUUUGCCGCGCGCUGAUGUCAGUGUCAGUGCAUGCGAUAUGACUCAUGCGCUGAUCUGAGGUCAGUUGUUCGGUUGCGUUGUUAUGGUGAAGAUCUGACUGUAGAUGGCUCGACCUGACACAAAGCGCCGCGGAUCAGUUUCCUCUCCUCAUAUAUAUAUGGAUCAGUCCACGGUUCACGAACCCGUGUGAUCACGAACCCGUGGAAAUAUUCAUAAAUGUAUCGCGGAGUAUAUACAGAGUUAUGCGUGGUGCACUUUUCACUCCUCUGUUAUCUUCGAGUAAUUUCUGGCCAGUCUUCAAAGAAUGGGUGCUGAGUGAAGGUCCACCUAAAAAUGAAGUGUUUUGGUGAAGGGAUGACAGCUGAAGCACUGCCUCCAUUACGUCUAGAGGCUGUUCCCUCUGGCUGCUCCAUAUGACGGGGGAAACUCAAACUGUGCUCUACUGGCAGGAGUGGAGGGGCAUAGUCUAAAGAGCUGAUGCACCAUCAUUCUUCAGACACUAGAGGCUGCUGUCUUCUUUUGCUCCCAAAGAGAGCUGCAUCCUGAACAAACGUUUUUGUUGUUUUGUUGACAUGAGUUUUAUGAUUAAUGACAUAUGACACGCUUGCUAAAUAUUAUAUGUGGCAUAAAGCUCACAGAUCAUAAACCUUUCAGCACACAGAGUCUGGGAACUCUGUAACCCUGAACUCUCUGCCCAGAAUAGCUGGGCAUUUUAACAAAUUACCGACAUACCAGCUGUGCGACCGAAAUCUAAACAAUACUUGCAAUUUUUAGACAUGAACGUAGAUCAUUAAAUCUGUCAAGAUAUAAAACAUGUAUUUUAUUAUUAUUAUUAUUAUUUUAUUUUUAUUUUUUUACGAGACCACAAGCUCUCCAGUAUCUUAAAGUAAAACCCUGUGUUACGUUGUUAGUUUUAUAAUCUUGCCAUUUAGUACAAAAAGUAAAAAGAAAAUGCAAGCUGUGCUGUAAAGCAUGCAGAACUACGGAGAGGAAACUAGUUUCUCACGACCAUGUUUCAUCACAUUCAUGUGUCUAGCUUUGAAGGCGGUGCUAGUUCAUUCCUCCCCUCAGUGGGAUGAAAUCACAAGCUUGUGAUGAAGAAAAAAUGCAUAUAUAUAUAAAAAAAACCAAAUAAAACAUGGAAAAUAGGUUUGUCUACAUAAGGAUUGACUUAUAAUUAUCCAC